rnacentral:rRNA from 1 species
ACUCAAAUGAAUAGACGGGGGCCCGCACAAGCGGUGGAGCAUGUGGUUUAAUUCGAUGCUACGCGAAAAACCUUACCUAGAUUUGACAUCCCGGGCUAUCCUAGGAAACUAGGAGUUCUCUUCGGAGACCCGGUGACAGGUGCUGCAUGGCUGUCGUCAGCUCGUGUUGUGAGAUGUUGGGUUAAGUCCCGCAACGAGCGCAACCCGUAUCAUUAGUUACCAUCAUUUAGUUGGGCACUCUAAUGAGACCGCUUGCCUAUAAGGCAGAGGAAGGUGCGGAUGACGUCAAGUCCUCAUGGCCUUUAUAUCUAGGGCUACACACGUGCUACAAUGGGACACACAAAGCGCAGCAAGCCAGCAAUGGCAAGCUAAUCGCAAAAAAUGUCUUUCAGUUCGGAUUGGAGUCUGCAAUUCGACUCCAUGAAGCUGGAAUCGCUAGUAAUCGCGGAUCAGCACGCCGCGGUGAAUACGUUCCCGGGCCUUGUACACACCGCCCGU